UACGUAGGCAGCGAGCGUUGUUCGGAAUUACUGGGCGUAAAGAGCGUGUAGGCGGUGCUCUAAGUUCGGUGUGAAAUCUCCUGGCUCAACUGCGAGGGUGCGCCGGAAACUGGAGUGCUUGAGCGUGGGAGAGGAAAGCGGAAUUCCUGGUGUAGCGGUGAAAUGCGUAGAUAUCAGGAGGAACACCGGUGGCGAAGGCGGGUCUCUGGGCAGUAACUGACGCUGAGGAGCGAAAGCGUGGGGAGCAAACAGG
rnacentral:rRNA from 1 species